rnacentral:snRNA from 14 species
AGCUUUGCGCAGAGGCGAUAACGUGACCAAUGAGGCUCUGCCGAGGUGCGUUUAUUGCUGGUUUAUUGUUCGUAGUAUUGAAGAAGUGGUCCAGGAAAAUUCGCUUGUGCGUAAUUUCGUAAUUUGCUGUGGCGCAUCCAAACUGCCGCAAGCAA